rnacentral:rRNA from 1 species
GGUCAGCGACUUAUAUUCUGUAGCAAGGUUAACCGAAUAGGGGAGCCGAAGGGAAACCGAGUCUUAACUGGGCGUUAAGUUGCAGGGUAUAGACCCGAAACCCGGUGAUCUAGCCAUGGGCAGGUUGAAGGUUGGGUAACACUAACUGGAGGACCGAACCGACUAAUGUUGAAAAAUUAGCGGAUGACUUGUGGCUGGGGGUGAAAGGCCAAUCAAACCGGGAGAUAGCUGGUUCUCCCCGAAAGCUAUUUAGGUAGCGCCUCGUGAAUUCAUCUCCGGGGGUAGAGCACUGUUUCGGCAAGGGGGUCAUCCCGACUUACCAACCCGAUGCAAACUGCGAAUACCGGAGAAUGUUAUCACGGGAGACACACGGCGGGUGCUAACGUCCGUCGUGAAGAGGGAAACAACCCAGACCGCCAGCUAAGGUCCCAAAGUCAUGGUUAAGUGGGAAACGAUGUGGGAAGGCCCAGACAGCCAGGAUGUUGGCUUAGAAGCAGCCAUCAUUUAAAGAAAGCGUAAUAGCUCACUGGUCGAGUCGGCCUGCGCGGAAGAUGUAACGGGGCUAAACCAUGCAC